rnacentral:snRNA from 1 species
GUGCUUACUUAGGCAGCACAUAUACUAAAAUUGGAACGAUACAGAGAAGAUUAGCAUGGCCCCUGCACAAGGAUGACAUGCAAAUUCGUGAUGCAUUCCAUAUUUUU